rnacentral:rRNA from 1 species
GAUGAACGCUGGCGGCGUGCCUAAUACAUGCAAGUCGAGCGAACAGACGAGGAGCUUGCUCCUCUGACGUUAGCGGCGGACGGGUGAGUAACACGUGGAUAACCUACCUAUAAGACUGGGAUAACUUCGGGAAACCGGAGCUAAUACCGGAUAAUAUAUUGAACCGCAUGGUUCAAUAGUGAAAGACGGUUUUGCUGUCACUUAUAGAUGGAUCCGCGCCGCAUUAGCUAGUUGGUAAGGUAACAGCUUACCAAGGCAACGAUGCGUAGCCGACCUGAGAGGGUAAUCGGCCACACUGGAACUGAGACACGGUCCAGACUCCUACGGGAGGCAGCAGUAGGGAAUCUUCCGCAAUGGGCGAAAGCCUGACGGAGCAACGCCGCGUGAGUGAUGAAGGUCUUCGGAUCGUAAAACUCUGUUAUUAGGGAAGAACAAAUGUGUAAGUAACUAUGCACGUCUUGACGGUACCUAAUCAGAAAGCCACGGCUAACUACGUG